rnacentral:rRNA from 1 species
GACGAACGCUGGCGGCGUGCUUAACACAUGCAAGUCGAACGGAAAGGCCCUGCUUUUGUGGGGUGCUCGAGUGGCGAACGGGUGAGUAACACGUGAGUAACCUGCCCUUGACUUUGGGAUAACUCCAGGAAACUGGGGCUAAUACCGGAUAUGAGCUCCUGCUGCAUUGUGGGGGUUGGAAAGUUUCGGCGGUUGGGGAUGGACUCGCGGCUUAUCAGCUUGUUGGUGGGGUAGUGGCUCACCAAGGCUUCGACGGGUAGCCGGCCUGAGAGGGUGACCGGCCACAUUGGGACUGAGGUACGGCCCAGACUCCAACGGGGGGCAGCAGUGGGGAAUAUUGCACAAUGGGCGGAAGCAUGAUGCAGCGACGCCGCGUGCGGGAUGAAGGCCUUCGGGUUGUAAACCGCUUUCGCCUGUGACGAAGCGUGAGUGACGGUAAUGGGUAAAGAAGCACCGGCUAACUACGUG